rnacentral:rRNA from 1 species
UCGACCUCAGAUCAGGUAGGAAUACCCGCUGAACUUA